rnacentral:tRNA from 1 species
CCUCCUAUAGCUCAAUUGGCAGAGCGCAAGACUGUAAUUGAAACCUAGCACAUCUUGAGGUUCCUAGUUCGAUUCUGGGUGGGAGGA